AUGGAUCCGGUGUCGGUAGCUGCAGUGGGAUGGGCCAUAUCCACCGCAGGGUGGAUCAUCUCCCCCAUCGUCGCCAAGCUCGUGAACAGCGUCUGCCCCCGCAUAACCUUGAACGUGCCGAAGAAGAUCCGCGACCUGGAGACCUGCACUCUCCCUCGGCUGGCGCUCACUCUGGGAGCACUGGAGAUCAGCCAGAGGCAUGAGCUGGAGAAACUGGUGAAGGAGCUCAAGUCGGCUUUCUAUCAGGUGGAAGACAUCCUGGAUGAUGCGGAGUACUGUCGUCUGGAGAAACAACUAGCCCGCUCCAAGAAACGCAAGUUCCCCUUGGAUUUUAAUGAUGCUGAUGGUACCAAGUUAACGGCAGGAUAUUCAAGAUGCCGUUUGAAGGAUAAACUAGAUAAGAUAGAGAAACUAAUUGAGAAAGCACAGGACAUUAUUAAGUUAGCUAACCUGCCAGGCAAUAAUAAUGAAAGUGGCGAUCAUAGACGAUACGUUGGUGUCACUGCCAAACAUACAUCGAAGCCCACCGCUGCAUAUCUGCCACGCAAGGUAAUCGGUCGAGACAAGGAUCGUGAGGAAAUAAUAAGUAUGCUUCGUGAUGAAAACCAGUCAAGUGCUGAUAGAUGUUUUUCCGUUAUUGGCAUUCACGGCAUCCCUGGGUCUGGGAAGACAACUCUUGCACAGUAUGUUUGCGAGUACGAGGAGGAAGCCAACCACUUCGACAUUGUGAUGUGGAUUCAUGUCUCCCAGAAUUUUGGCCUGGACACCAUCUUGAGGGAGAUGAUUGAACAGGCUACAAAGCAACCAUGCCCUCAGUUCAAAAGUCUUACUGCUUUACAGAAAAGAUUGAAACAAGACCUGCGCGAAAAGCGUUUCCUGUUGGUACUAGAUGAUGUCGAGCAUAAUAAGGAUAUAAGCGAGGAUGAUCUUUCUGCAUUGGAAGUUGGGGGAGCAGGAAGCAAGAUUCUAGCAACCAGUCGAACUAGAGAUGCUUUAUUGGCUUUGGGUGCUGUGAGAUCGAAAUGCAUUCCAAUAUCUAAGUUAGAUGAGCAUGUCUUCCGAGAAUUGUUCUUGCAAUAUGCACUUGACGGUGCAGAGAUAUGUGAGCGAGAUCGAAUAGUACUGCAGAUGAUUGGGGCUGACAUUGCAAAGAAACUGAAGGGAUCACCUCUGGCAGCAAGAACAGUGGGAGGACAAUUGCGUAUAAGGCAAGAUGUUGAGUUUUGGAGGAGUGUACGAGAUAAGGAUUUUUUCAGUGACGCAAUGGAAGCUCUGCGGUGGAGCUACCAGCUUCUUGAUGAGAAAGUUAGACGAUGCUUUGCUUACUGCAGUAUUUUUCCCAGAGGGCAUCAUUUGGGACGCAGUAAGUUAAUUAACUUGUGGGCAGCAGAAGGGUUCAUAAGCAGAGAGGAAGUUGGAGGAGAUUACUUCCACAAAUUAGUGGCGACCUCGUUUCUGCAGCUCGAACGAAAGGACUCGUCGGGCGAGGAGUACUAUUUACUUCAUGAUCUGCUGCAGGAUUUAGCAGAGACGGUCGGACGUAGUGAUUGCUGCAGAAUUGAGGGUGGCUGCACAGGACAAGUUCCUCGAGACGAUGUUCGCCAUUUGUAUAUUAAGGCUUGUAAUGGAGCAACAGUUGCUGGCAAUAAAGCUUUCGAGAAAAUGAUUACCGAAAAUAUUGUCAAACUGAAGGAGCUGCGCACUCUGAUCAUUGACGGAGGGGAGACAGGAAUUGAGGCAAAGGUGUUCGAUGAUAUCUUCGACAGCUUGAAGUCUCUACGAGUACUGAUUGUAGAGACACAGAGUAGAAGAAUAUUGCAAAUCCCAGAAUCUAUUGGUUACUUAAAGUAUCUACGAUAUCUUUCUAUCGAGUAUAGAUGCCGUAUAUUUUUUCCGCGCACGGUUACAAAGCUUUACCACUUGCGGGUGCUUGAUUUUGGUGAAUAUGGAAUGUUGGAACGUAGUUGCUCCCCUGAAAAUAUGAGUAACCUUGUGAACUUGCAGAGAGUGGUAGGCCGUUCACUUGGGGAUUUUCCAAACAUAGGCAGGCUGACAUUGCUCCGAACAUUACCAACCUUCAGGGUGAAAAGGGACCUCCUGGGUUACGACAUUAAGCAGCUGAAGCACCUAAACAAGCUCCAGGGAAAAUUGGUGAUCAGUGGUCUCCAACAUGUUCGCAGCGAGGAGGAAGCCGUUGAAGCGAAGUUAGCUGAGAAGGAGCACCUCAAACAACUGACACUGGCCUGGGACGAUGAUAACACAAGCAGUAACCACGAUCCAGCAGUACUCGAGUGUCUAUGCCCGCCAAUGGGGCUUCAAGUCCUGGAAAUCAUAGGCUACCGUGGUUCAUACCCUGGCUGGAUGGUGGGUAAGCAUAGUGGUCAACUGUACCUUCAGAAACUUGAGCUCCGCCAAUGCAGCCCACUGGGACCUGCUCCUAGACUUUUUGAGUGCUUCGUUCAUCUGGAAUCGCUCUGUCUCUCUCACUUAAGCUGGCACACCUUGCCAGAUAACAUGGAGCAAGUCAGGACUCUCAAAGUUCUGAUGAUCUCCCACUGCAAGAAUAUGAAGGUGCUGCCAACACUGCCGCAGUCUCUUUCGCGUUUUAAACUCUCAAACUGCGGGCACGAGUUCACAAGACGAGGCAUCAUGGCGCAAUGGCGUUGCAUCAGCAGGGCUUUAGGCAUCAAUGGGAAGACGAUGAAGGGAAUGUUGAGCAAGGUGGCAGUUCAGACCUUAAGCCAAACUGCAGGCUGGGCCGGAUGUAUGUGUGUUAUGAUUCCUUGGUGUAUUUUCAUUCUGUCCUUUUUUUAUCAAAAACUAGGAAGGUAGCCCGCGCCUU
rnacentral:lncRNA from 1 species